AGUGAGUCAUACAACCCUGAAUGCACUCAAUGUCAUCUGAUCUCAGAAGCUAAGCAGGGUCAGGCCUAGUUAGUACUUGGAUGGGAUUCCAUUAUUU
rnacentral:rRNA from 1 species